UACGUAGGGGGCAAGCGUUGUCCGGAAUCACUGGGCGUAAAGCGCACGUAGGCGGCUUUGUAAGUAAGAGGUGAAAGCCUGGAGCUCAACUCCAGAACUGCCUUUUAGACUGCAUCGCUUGAAUCCAGGAGAGGUGAGUGGAAUUCCGAGUGUAGAGGUGAAAUUCGUAGAUAUUCGGAAGAACACCAGUGGCGAAGGCGGCUCACUGGACUGGUAUUGACGCUGAGGUGCGAAAGCGUGGGGAGCAAACAGG
rnacentral:rRNA from 1 species